ACGUCCCCCCCGUACACUCCGGGUGCUCCGCGCCGCCGCACCCACCUGACAACCUGCUCGCUACGUUUUGUUAACC
rnacentral:sRNA from 1 species